CUCUAAUUGCACAUGGCUGAGGGGUGAGGGUGAUGGCAGGUGUUUUGCAGGACACAGGCUUUUCAAAUAAGACCAAUAAUUCAAUUAACAGACAUCUAUUUCCUGCCUCCUUCCUCCUGAAAAGCCUGAAACUGAGCUUAGAGGAUUUGAUGCCCUAAUUUCUUUUGCUUUUUGAAAUAGCCUCAGGUCAGCUUGCUGUGUUGGUGUGGCCACGACCCUUGACCAGCUUGUGUACCACAAUGUGCCCCAGAGCUGGAGGAGAGGAUGCUUGUGGCACUGAUGCGUCUUGGGGACCGUCCCCACUGUGGCGAGGAGAAGCAGACGGCUGCAGUGAAGACCCCUGGUCCAACUCCCUGUCGCUUCAAAAUGACUUUUUAUGGACUAUGGUGGAAAAUAGAAUCAAAAUUAGCAGAUAAGUGAAUAAAAUCUCAAGGACAAUAACAGAAUAAACGUGUCUGCUAAGCAGUUUUCUGAGAGGAAAAUCUGGCAUCUCUCGCUUAAGGAGAAACACUGAGGAGGAAAAGGCAUGUGUGGAGUCCUUAACUGCUGGGACUGAACGAGCAGAGAUGUAGAAGCUGGUUUGCGAUGUCAGAUGCCAAGUUCUUGGUCCCCGCUGGCUUAAGAGGAGUUUGCUGUAAUACUCUGCUGCCCGUGGGCUCAUUGAAAUUACCCAUCCAAGCCAAAACCACGUCGCUUAGGAGAUGAGGGAAUAAAUCCCUCCCUGUUUCCAGACCUAAUGCCGAACACGCAACUGGAACGAAAAGGGCCAGACAGUGUGAGGCUGCAGUGUGGGGACACACUGAUCAUCGCAUCCUUGGAGAAUUUCAGACAGCAAAUGGGAGGCAGGGACCUGCAGAGCCCACUCAAUUGCAGUCAGCUUGGUGUGAACCCCCAGCCCUGGGACGGCAGAUGGAGACUGAUGGAAGCUGCUGUGACCACCUCCCCAGCUUCCACCUGAUAUCAGCAGGAGCUGUGAAGUAUCAGCACCCAUUUACCUGGCUGGUGAUGCUCGUGAACUUAAAGAUUCCUACCCUCACCUUACCUGCCAUCCAAGUCCGAGAAGUCCAGGUUAGGUUCUGAUUUUUGGACAAAAAACCUUCCUGAUGGA